rnacentral:rRNA from 1 species
GGAAUCUUCCACAAUGGGCGAAAGCCUGAUGGAGCAAUGCCGCGUGAGUGAUGAAGGUUUUCGGAUCGUAAAGCUCUGUUGCCAGGGAAGAACGUCCGGGUGAGUAACUGCACCCGGAGUGACGGUACCUGAGAAGAAAGCCCCGGCUAACUACGUGCCAGCAGCCGCGGUAAUACGUAGGGGGCAAGCGUUGUCCGGAAUUAUUGGGCGUAAAGCGCGUGCAGGCGGCGGAUUAAGUCGGAUGUUUAAGAUCGGGGCUCAACCCCGAUUCGCAUCCGAAACUGGCCCGCUUGAGUGUAGGAGAGGAAAGUGGAAUUCCACGUGUAGCGGUGAAAUGCGUAGAGAUGUGGAGGAACACCAGUGGCGAAGGCGACUUUCUGGCCUAUAACUGACGCUGAGGCGCGAAAGCGUGGGGAGCAAACAGGAUUAGAUACCCCAG